UACAGUGAUCGGGUUAUGAUGGAUUUUCUCAAGUAAUCACCUCAUAACUCAGUCACGAUAUC
rnacentral:pre_miRNA from 1 species